UCCUUUUUAAAUUACUGAAGGAAAAAUUAGCUUUAGUGUAGAUUAUAUAUGUGCUUUAAUGCUUACAGCAUGGUUCUAAUUUAUGUUUACUUUUCCUACUUCUAGGGCUGAGCUUCCCCUUUUGGUAGCAAGAAAAUAUUAUACAGAAAGGGUAUUAGGUUCAUUCGAUCUAACUGGAAGAUAUAACAUUCUUGCUUGAUGCAUUUGGGGGCUGGUACUCCAUUGUUUUGGACAAUACUUCUACCAUUACUUUGACGCAUUUCAGCUGGGAAGGGCACAUGUCUACAUGGCUUUUCUUCGUUGAAUGUGAAGAAGUUCUAGGCAAUGAAAACCAUGUGAAGAACCAGAAACACUACUAGAGGGUUAAGUUGUGGGUUUGCUUUUAGGAACGAGGCUCCAGCGAGAGAAUAUGAGCCCAUGAGUUCGUCGUAUAAUAUGUAUGAUUAAACAACUCUCUCCUUUUAUGGGAAUGGACAUGACAAUUAUGAUGAUGCUGUUGUUCCUUUGAAAAGGAAGAGCCAUGAGUCCGUCGUGUAAUAUGUAUGAUUAAACAACUCUCCUUUUAUGGGAAUGGACAUGAUGAUUGUGAUGAUGAUGUUGUUCCUUUGAAAAGGUUGUAACAAUGGAAAUUAUUUUGAGCAAAAUCGGAAUUUACCGAUUGGAUUCGUAUUUUGGCAAGGCAACUGUGAUUGCAGCCAUGGCGGAUUUCGACAUUAAAUUCUGAUAAUAACAUAUCUGAGCUUCAAAAAACCAUUAUCCUUGGAGAUAUGAAGAACAUCUAUCUACAUAGAGGUGCACAUUUCGGGUUUUUUUUCUCAAACCGGUACCGGUUCAAAUCGUUUCAGUUUGGGUCAACAACGGUUGAAACUAGUAUUUGGUGAAACUGGUUUACAAGUGGAAAGGGAUUGGUUUCGAUUGGUGUCAUAAACCGGUUCUGGUUCACAAACCAGGUUUUUUGUUCACCUCUACAUUUACCUAUAACCAAAUGUUGAGCUAACUUGGAAUUUACAGAUUGGAUCCGUCCGUAUCUUGGCUAGGCAACUCGGUCGGUAUGUAUUUGAUACAUGCAACUGUAUUGUAGCCAUGGCGGAUUUACACAGUAAAUCCCCGAUGAUAAUAUAUCUGAGCCUCAAAACCUUUAUCCUUGGAGAUAAGAAAACCUUUAUCCUUGCAGCCAUGGCAGAUUUACACAAUAACUUCCCUCUUGGCAUUUGAUCUUUUGAUCAACUAUGAGUUGGUGAUUUUGCUCUAUCUUUUUUGUAUUGGUGGUGGGGCUAAUUGUUUGAAAGUAUGAGGCAAUGAUAAUAAACAUAGCCCGAGCAAAAUUGGAGUUUGUGGAACCGAUCUGUAUCUUGGCUGGGCAAUCUAGAUGACAAUUAUUGUGUUUGGAGAUUCUCUCUGGAGUUUGAUGAAUACUUUGCAACUGCGAUUGUAGCCAUGGUGGAUUUGGGCAAAAACAAGUUCUAUUGCAACAUAUCUGAGCCUUCGUUCCAUAACAGAUGCAAAAUUAUAUUCGAUCAUGUGGAUGUCAGCUAAUUGGUUUGGGGAAAGCAUAACGUUUUUAAUUAUGAUUGUGGAGUGUUUUAUUAACAUACUAAUUAUAUAACUUAAUUUACUGUAGUUUAGUCCGGUUGGUGCAAGCAUGGUCCAUGGGAUAAGUUGUUUAAAUUUUUCAUGGUCCAAGUGUUGCAGCUCGGCUUCGGCAAUUUUUCUAAACUACAGUUUGGUGU